rnacentral:rRNA from 1 species
GACGAACGCUGGCGGCGUGCUUAACACAUGCAAGUCGAACGAAGAGCGAUGGAAGCUUGCUUCUAUCAAUCUUCGUGGCGCACGGGUGAGUAACGCGUAAUCAACCCGCCCUUCAGAGGGGGACAACAGUUGGAAACGACUGCUAAUACCGCAUACGAUCUAACCUCGGCAUCGAGGAUAGAUGCAAGGUGGCCUCUACAUGUAAGCUCUCACUCAAGGAGGGGAUUGCGUCUGAUUAGCUAGUUGGAGGGGUAACGGCCCACCAAGGCGAGGAGCAGUAGCCGGUCGGAGAGGAUGAACGGCCACAUUGGGACUGAGACACGGCCCAGACUCCUACGGGAGGCAGCAGUGGGGAAUCUUCCGCAAUGGACGAAAGUCUGACGGAGCAACGCCGCGUGAGUGAUGACGGCCUUCGGGUUGGAAAGCUCUGUUAAUCGGGACGAAAGGCCUUCUUGCGAAUAGUGAGAAGGAUUGACGGUACCGGAAUAGAAAGCCACGGCUAACUACGUG